AGAGUUUGAUCAUGGCUCAGAUUGAACGCUGGCGGCAUGCCUUACACAUGCAAGUCGAACGGUAACGCGGGGCAACCUGGCGACGAGUGGCGAACGGGUGAGUAAUGCAUCGGAACGUGCCCAGUAGUGGGGGAUAGCCCGGCGAAAGCCGGAUUAAUACCGUAUACGAUCUACGGAUGAAAGCGGGGGACCGCAAGGCCUCGCACUAUUGGAGUGGCCGAUGUCGGAUUAGCUAGUUGGUGAGGUAAAAGCUUACCAAGGCGACGAUCCGUAGCUGGUCUGAGAGGACGAUCAGCCACACUGGAACUGAGACACGGUCCAGACUCCUACGGGAGGCAGCAGUGGGGAAUUUUGGACAAUGGGGGCAACCCUGAUCCAGCCAUGCCGCGUGAGUGAAGAAGGCCUUCGGGUUGUAAAGCUCUUUCGGCGGGGACGAAACGGUUCGUGACAACACCACGGACUAAUGACGGUACCCGCAUAAGAAGCACCGGCUAACUACGUGCCAGCAGCCGCGGUAAUACGUAGGGUGCAGGCGUUAAUCGGAAUUACUGGGCGUAAAGCGUGCGCAGGCGGUUUGUUAAGACAGGUGUGAAAUCCCCGGGCUUAACCUGGGAAUUGCGCUUGUAACUGGCAGGCUAGAGUGUGGCAGAGGGGGGUGGAAUUCCACGUGUAGCAGUGAAAUGCGUAGAUAUGUGGAGGAACACCGAUGGCGAAGGC
rnacentral:rRNA from 1 species